rnacentral:rRNA from 1 species
UACGGAGGGUGCAAGCGUUAUCCGGAUUCACUGGGUUUAAAGGGUGCGUAGGUGGAUUGGUAAGUCAGUGGUGAAAUCUCCGGGCUUAACCCGGAAACUGCCAUUGAUACUAUCAGUCUUGAAUACCGUGGAGGUCAGUAGAAUAUGUCAUGUAGCGGUGAAAUGCUUAGAUAUGACAUAGAAUACCAAUUGCGAAGGCAGCUGGCUACACGAAUAUUGACACUCAGGCACGAAAUCGUGGGGAUCAAACAGG